rnacentral:lncRNA from 1 species
CUAAAAUUGAAGACAAGAUGCUUGCCAUAACUCCAUGGCUAAAUUGUGAACUACAUUUUCAAGAAUGUGCAGGCAAGCAAGAAAGACACAGAAUAACAUUGAGAGAAAUAGAGAUCAUUGUGCAAGGAGAAGCCUAUGAAUAAAAAUUAGCUGGAAAGUCAGUCAUUAUGUCAGAACAAACAUCUUCUAAGAAGAAAAUUCUGAUUGAUUUCCACAUAAUCACUCUGAUUGUGGAGUCAGCCUGAGCCACACAUGAGCCAGCUCUUCCACUGCUGUUGACUGCGCCUGCAAACAACCAAGAAAACAUAAAUCAGGGAGAGGAAAUGACUAAAGUAUGGAUUUAAAUGUUCCUAUUUUUACAAGGCUGUAGGCUCCACAUUUUUGUUGACUAUUUUAAUGAUACCAGCAACAAUUUGGGGCAGCCAUCCUGGUAAUGUCUCUUAACCUUUUCUGUCAUUUAUGGGAAGCAGUUUGCAGGUACUUCAUGAUCAGAGAAAGAACUUGACCAAUUUAUUCUUUAGUAUUUAGUUCAAAAGAGAGCUAUAAAAACUGUUUUUUUU